AAAACCAUAUGUAACAGAAAUUGUAGCAUGAAUUUAAAAGAGUGAUAAGUCAGGUCUUAAAGCGGUUAGGUUCCUAAUAUAAGCAAUCACAUUUAAUUACGCGUAAAACAUAAUAAUGAGUGUUAUAUAAUUUUUUGAUCUUUUAAAUCUUCUCAGUACCCCCGACAAAAAUGAAGGGGACCUUAAAAAUUCUUUUAUGGAAGCAUUUUGUAGUGCGUGUGAGAAGAUAUUUUCACUCGGCGAUUGAAAUAUUAUCGACGGUGUUAUUGUUUAUAAUACUAUUUGCUGAUAAGGAUUCUUUGUUGAAAAAAAGAGUUAAUUAUCAGUAUGAAUUAAAUGUGGAACAAUCUAAAUAAAAAGUCAUUACUAUUUUAGUAGAGAAAAUGGGCCUUGGAAAUAUUGUUAUACAGUCUGCUGAAUAAUCCAACAUCUGUUGAUAAAGAAUUCUUAAUGUUUUAUUAAAUAUAUUUUAAGAUAAUAUUA